GAUGAAGAACGUAGCGAAAUGCGAUACUUGGUGUGAAUUGCAGAAUCCCGUGAACCAUCGAGUCUUUGAACGCAAGUUGCGCCCGAAGCCAUUAGGCCGAGGGCACGCCUGCCUGGGUGUCACACGUCGUUGCCCCCCCAUCUACUCCUUCUGGAUUGCGGGGGGCGGAUGAUGGCCUCCCGUGCGCCUCGUCGCGCGGUUGGCAUAAAUGCCAAGUCCUCGGCGACGCACGCCACGACAAUCGGUGGUUGCGAAACCUCGGUUGCCCGUCGUGUGCGGUCGUCGCGCAUCGAGGGCUCGAAAAAAUUGCCGGGCUCCGGCUCGGCUUUCAACGCGACCCCAGGUCAGGCGGGGUUACCCGCUGAAUUUAAGCAUAUCAAUAAGCGGAGGA
rnacentral:misc_RNA from 1 species